rnacentral:lncRNA from 1 species
AGUCCCAGCCCUAGAGUCAAGGCGGCCUGGGAAGCCCCCUCUGAGACAGGCCCACUGGAGGGAGCCCCAACACCACGCAGGCCUGGCAGCCCUGCCAGCCCACGAGCCCAGAGAGGCCCUGAGAAUGCGGAGGUCAUAUGCCUGGCCUCUGAGCACUGGGAGGGGACACCUGAGACGCCCUCAGAUGCCGAUGGCCACCAGCAGCCUCCGAGGCUAGCCUGGGGAGAGGACACAGCCAAGGCCAGCAGCCCGCCCGAGGACAGAGGCAGUCCUUUAGCCCAAGUGACCGUGCUGGUCUCAGCAGUGAGACUGCGGCAGAUAAUGUGACCUGCAGAGGGCGCCGGGCUCCCCACGGGACAGCAUCACAGUCUGAGGAGCAUGGGGGUGGGUGGCCCCUCUGGGACACAGGCAUCUUUGUCUGAAGCGGCACAGGGCAGCUCAGCCUCACACCUGACAAGAGAGAAAGGCGCAGAAGGGGUGGUGUUAGGAGUGGCAGUGGGGUUCCCAGAAGUGGGGGCCUGGGAUGCACUGAGCUUUGGGCCCCAGGGAGGGAGGCGCCGUGGGCCACGGUGCUGAGUCCAUCCCAGCAGCUGUGAUGCUGGGACCGCGUCUUCCAGAGUCUUUCAUCCCCCGGCUGGACCAUCGGCACUCAGGCUUGCUGGACCCUGGACAGCUGCUGGACUCAGCCUCUCCUGUAUGCAAGUCCACAGGAAGCCCUUUCCAGGGCCCGGGCCUGGGUGGGGUCCCCAUUCUGCCCGCCGUGGCUGGGUGCUGGUCGGGACCUGGGCACCCAUGUGUCCUUGCCUCUGUGGUGCUGCCCGUCUCCUGGUCGUCGCAGUCUUGCCUGACUGCAGCUCCUGCAACCCAGGGCAUCUUCCCCCCUGCCUUGUCCAUGCAGGCCCUCGAGGCAGAGGGAGGCGCCCCCAAAGCUCAGCCUGGGCCACAGGAGGCACCGGAGCCACCCCCAGGGGCCCCUCAGACACAGCCCAGAGCCUGCUGGCCCGGGAAGAGGCCCCCGACUCGCAUGGGUGGCUGCGCUCGCGGCUCCCAGGGGCCAGGCCUUGGACGCCCGGGAGCAGAUGGUCCUCCGGUUGCCCGGGAAGCACGUGUGGCUGAAGGAAGCACAUGCCAAGCUGGACUAGAUGGUGGCGGGAUCCCCACAGAGGAACCCCUGGAAGUGGAGAGCGGGCCGCCUGGGGCGCAGAGGACAGAGGCCUGUCAGCAGGAGGACAGCAGCAGCCCCCUGGCCGCCUCCCCAGCAGCUCCUGCAGCCCUGGAGGAGGAGGCAAGAAUGCUUGUGUACCUGGGCUCCGGGCCUGCAGCUGGGCUCCCCUUGGGGUCUGCAGGGUCCCCAGCGUCGUCCCCCAUGUCCUCAGCAGGCUCUGCGUGUGACUUGUCCUGCUCCUCCCUCCAGGAGUUUCAGAAAGCCACAGCCACCCUGGUCCAGCUUUCUGACGGCUCCCUCUCCCUGUCUGGCCCCGAGGCCGAGGGCAGCCGGGCCACAGAGCCCAGCUGGUCCGAGGAGCUGUCUGCUCACGAGGACUUUGCCCCACCCUUGUUUUGGGGGCUCCACCAGGGUGACCCUCAGCCGGGUGCUGUUCCUGGGGGUGCAGGGCCGGUGACCUGGCAGAGACCAGAAUGUGGCCAGGCUGGUGCCCUGCCUGGCUGUCCAGUGGAGGCAGCAGUGGCAGACGACUUAGUCCCAGAGCAGAGCUCCUCACAGGCCAGCUGCCCACUGCCUGCCCAAGAUGUUCGUUCUCCAAGGUCUGGGUCAGAGCUGUCAGAGGCCUCCAGCCAAAUUUGGGACGAGGACAUUGAAGAGAACCUGUCAGAACCUGGCCCGGGGGCUGAGCCCACCUCUGGCAGCUCCUCGCCUCCUGGCUUGUCCAGCUUGGAACACAGCAUGGCUGUACCUGCCUUGGGCCCCAGACAGGGACAGGAACCUUCUGGAACCAGCCGGAGCCUGAGCGGGACUUCUGCUUCUGAAGGGGCUGGCUGCCAGGAGCGGCCCCAGGCUGCUGGCCCAAGCCUGUGCUCUGAAAGGAGCCCUCCACAGGCCUCUUCAGGGCCUGAGACAGUGAUGGGGAUGAGGCCCAGCCCUGCUCCGAAGACUUCCCUUCCCCUCCCCAGGAGGCCAUGGUUCCCCAAGACUCGCUGGGCCCGCUGGAGGAAGACACUUCCAUCACCACUGAGGACGUGUCCCUGUCAGAGGAGGCCCCGAGGCAGGCUCUGUCACUGGGUCCCCAGCAGUCGGGGCUCUGCCUGGGGCUGCCUGGGCCAUGGGGAGGCCCUGAGGCGAUCUGUCUUUCUGCACCCGGCUCAUCUCGGACCCCCUGCAUAA